GUGUGUGAAGAAGGCCUUCGGGUUGUAAAGCACUUUCAGCGAGGAGGAAGGGUUCAGUGUUAAUAGCACUGUGCAUUGACGUUACUCGCAGAAGAAGCACCGGCUAACUCCGUGCCAGCAGCCGCGGUAAUACGGAGGGUGCAAGCGUUAAUCGGAAUUACUGGGCGUAAAGCGCACGCAGGCGGUUUGUUAAGUCAGAUGUGAAAUCCCCGCGCUUAACGUGGGAA
rnacentral:rRNA from 1 species